rnacentral:rRNA from 1 species
GAUGAUGUCUAGCUUGCUAGACUGAUUAGUGGCGCACGGGUGAGUAAUGCAUAGGUAACGUACCCCUUAGUCUGGGAUAGCCACUGGAAACGGUGAAUAAUACUAGAUACUCCUUCUUGCUUAAUGUGAGUCGGGAAAGUUUUUUCGCUAAGGGAUCGGCCUAUGUUGUAUCAGGUAGUUGGUGAGGUAAUGGCUCACCAAGCCUAUGACACAUAGCGGGUCUGAGAGGAUGAUCCGCCACACUGGUACUGAGACACGGACCAGACUCCUACGGGAGGCAGCAGUGGGGAAUAUUGCACAAUGGACGAAAGUCUGAUGCAGCAACGCCGCGUGGAGGAUGACACAUUUCGGUGCGUAAACUCCUUUUAUAUAAGAAGAUAAUGACGGUAUUAUAUGAAUAAGCACCGGCUAACUCCGUGCCAGCAGCCGCGGUAAUACGGAGGGUGCAAGCGUUAUUCGGAAUCACUGGGCGUAAAGGGUGCGUAGGCGGUUUGGAAAGUCAGGUGUGAAAGCCUACAGCUUAACUGUAGAACUGCACUUGAAACUUCCAGACUAGAAUACUGAAGGGGCAGAUGGAAUUAGUGGUGUAGGGGUAAAAUCCGUAGAUAUCACUAGGAAUACCUAAAGCGAAAGCGAUCUGCUGGGAAGUUAUUGACGCUGAGGCACGAAAGCGUGCGGAGCAAACAGGAUUAGAUACCCUGGUAGUCCACGCCCUAAACGAUGAAUGCUAGUCGUCGGAAAGCUUGUCUUUUCGGUGAUGCAGUUAACACAUUAAGCAUUCCGCCUGGGGAGUACGGUCGC